rnacentral:lncRNA from 1 species
AAAGUCCUUGUGCUUGUAAGUGGGCUAGUUGGCGUUAUGUUUUAUUGGUUGGCUGUCAUAAAUGAAUAUUGGCAUACUACAUCAAGUGAUAACAAUUUUUCGCAAUGUAAGUAAUGAUUUAAUUGUGUUUGUGACUUAAGAAACAAAAGGGUUGAUCGGUUUUAAAAAAACUUUUUGACGUCAGACACACAAAUUAAUGAAUGUGUUUGUAGAUAGACGUUUUUGUGUUCUGUUAAAUUGUCCCUUUUAAAAUUGUUAUACGAUGAUGACUGAUGUACCUAUAUUUUGACUAUUUUAUUUAUUGUGUUUGUUUAGUUUACGCAUCAAUGUAAAUAUAACGGAAUUUGACGAGACUGUCAUCAAAGUGAGAGGUUUAGCGCUAUAAAACCAGGUUUAAUCCACCAUUUGUUUUUACAUUUGAAAAUGCCUGUACCAAGUCAGGAAUAUGACAGUUCUUGUCCAUUCGUUUUUGAUGCGUUUUUGUUAUUUGAUUUUGCCAUGUGAUUAUGGACUUUCCGAAUUGAUUUUCCUCUAAGUUCAGUAUUUUUGUGAUCUUACUUUUUACAUUAUAAUGUAAUAAUAAUAUUCAUAAUAAUACAAUGAUGAUACUAUUGAAAAUAUUGGUUUAUUCCUUGAAUGCCAACAUCCUUUGAUUUACUGACAAUUUACCUGUAAAAUUAUGUUGGCAUUCCAUGAAUAGGUGCAAAUAGUUAUCACAACAAAAGUGCAUGUUUUUCAAAACAAUCAUACUAAUUAAACAGAAAGGUUAAUUACAGGUAGCUAAAUCUAAUAGAUACUUGUCAAACUGUUGAAAGUAUUUAUUUGCUGUUACUGCUUGAACAAUAUGGAUUUUCUUAAAAUGAACUUGGAAAAGUGUUGCAUCACAAAGUCAAUACGUGCAUUUUGUCAGGAAUUCCUGGUAGUAACUCAAAUACGAGUGGAUACAUAGCUCCAUCCACAAAGCUUUGUAGGGAGUACAACUGGUAAAACGGUGCAAUCAACAUAAAGAGUAGAAGCUGCUGUUAAAUGGCUCACGUUGAAGUGGAUGCUGAAUAUCAGGAUACAGUCUUGGUCUCCAUCAUCAAUGAGCAGAAAGUUAUCACCAGUUGUCGUCUAAUCCAUUUGCCCUCUAAGUUAAUCUCCUGUCUUGAAAUUGGCAGUUGAGGUAUCGUCUGACUAUGCUUGGUAUAGUGUGAUGUCUUGCAGGUUGUAAAGGUGGGCAUACUCUGGACUAGUCUUUCGGAGUCGUUGUCCUAGUCUCUGUUGCGUAGUUUGACUAAUUCGUCUGCAUUGAUUGUUGGUAUUAGAGUGCUUUCAACAAGACAUCUCUGUUUCUUUCUUUUGAGCACGUGAUCAAAAUUGAGUUCAACUGGAUCUGACAGAUGAUUAUGUUGAUCUCUCGUAUUCUAUUGAGUAUGUUGAUGGUAGCUGUGCAGUCAGACUUUACACAUCUCCAGUAGCAUCUGUCCCCCGUUUAGUCUUUACUCUGUAUAUAUGCUUGUAGUUAUUGUCGACCAAGUUUUCUUUGCCAAGACGGUUCUUAAACUGUGCAUUGACACAACUUGUCUAUUCUCGGCUUGAAAGUGCACAUAACUGGCUUUUUGUAGUUUGAAAUAAUUGUACCGAGUAAAAUUUCUUUAGUAUUUCUUAUAUUUUUUAUGAUAAUAAAUACAUUUCCAUUCCCAAAAUAACUAUAAUUUUUUAUUUUAAAAGUAAUAAAAAUGUUUUAAUUUGUUGAUUUCUUUCAAAUGUUGCAAUUUUAUCAGGUUUACUAAUUAUUUUGAACGGUUUAAUACUGAUAAAAACAUUUAAACAGUUAAAAACACACCUAUUGUUAUUAUAAAAACAUCUGUUGAAAUAUUUUUGUGGGCGUUCAAGGAAUAGGUACCAAAUAAAAUGUUGGCAUUCGCGGAAGACACCGAAAAUAUUAAUAUUAUUAGUAUUAUAAUCUUCAGUAUCUUCAUCAUUAUCAUUUUUACAAAUGUAACUUAUCAUAUUAAUAUUUUAUUUUUAUUAUCGUUCAAAAUAAUAUAUAUGUGAGAGUUGAUAUCCAUGAACUGGACUACAAAUAAUGCAGCAGUAUUUAAUUGCCCGAUUUCAGUGGUGCUAUGUUGAAUUUUGGAAGAUAUUUCAAACAAUUUUAACUUCUUUUCCUAGGACGGAAAUCGCUAGGAAUUUUCUCUUAUUUUUAACAUAUGAAGAAUCAAACAAAUACCCAGAAGAGAAUAACAAUAUGUUUUUCCUACGAAGAAAGCAUACACACACACACACACACAUCUUAAUUUGUUUGUAGCGGUACAAAAGAAACACAAUUUCAUACGAUCCUCUCAAAGUUUCUUCCGUUUAAGCAAAAACAUAACAAAUCCCGAUCAAAUUUUAGAGAAAAAUUAAACUGAAACACGUGAUACCUUAUAUGUCGUCAAUACAUUAAUUUGCAGAUGAUGAUUAGUGCUCGUAGUGAAGUGCAUUGGACGAAAUGCAAAUUUUGAUAUUUUAUCGGAUGUGUGUUCUUAUUUCUAUUAAUUAGUGAUAUGCAAAGACCAGCUUCAAUAUUUUAAGAAUACCUUUUUAUAUUAUCUUAAUUCUAUUUAAAUAUUUUAUUAUUUCAUGACAUGCUAUGUAAUUAUAUAUUCAUGUGUAUAUUCGUUUUUACAGUUCUAGUGAAUUCAAAUCCGGUGAUUCGGUAGGUCACAUUCUUCGAAAAUGAGACGGGAUUGUAUUUACAAUUUAAACAUAUAUUACAUAACGGUCAAACAAGCCUUAUUGGCGACCUUAAAAUUUACGAAGGAAUCAUUUCAACUUCACAGCUUAUAACUCUUUGUUCAAAUCCUUCUUUGUGAGCAGCAACCCUCUUUCGAGGACAUUAUGUUCGGUAAUGCAAACCCUACAAUAUCAACUGGGAGGUAUAUACUCCGCAUAUGCAAGAGUUGCUGGAAUAUAGCUACAUAGAAAUGGAAAGUUUUCUAUUAGAAAACUGAAGUUAUAUAUUUUGUCUUCAAGUUGUUUUCAUCCGACACUCAUUGUCAAUUACUAGAUGUAAGUCAAUGUAUAUGGCAGACUUAACUGUAUAUGAUGUAUUCUUUAUCUCAACGUCCAAUGACUAUAAUCGUUGCAAACGAGCUGCAUAAGAAUUGGGUAAUGGUUUUAAAUAACUAUAAUUGAUUACUCAUAAGAAAUCAAUGUGACACUGAUUAGCUAUUCAUAUAAAGCACCUGUACUUUUUAAAGGGGUACUAGCUGCCAAAUUCAUGGUCGCCGAUUUGACUCAAAUUCUCAUAUUUGAUUUAUAACAAUGUAAAAUAUUUACCUAAACUAUCAAAAGUCUAAAAUAAACAGUUUACAGAGCAUAGCGUAGAUAAUAUAUAGGUUCGUUUCAUGUGUAUUCUAGUCCAGACGCCAUCUAAUUACCUAUCGAUUUGACCUCAGAAGACCAUAUAAGCGAUGUAAACAUAAAUAAAGAUAUGAAUAGAUUAAACCAACACGUGCAAUUGGAGUUUUAUAGGUCUGUUUGAUUUUAUUUUAUAGAUUAAAAAUAGAUGUUUCUCAUUGUUUUUAACCGUAUAAGAAUGAUUUUAUGUGCAUCGAACUAGUGAUCAAAUGAUUUACUAAGUUUCACUUUCAUUGUUGACGUUCUUUUUUUUUAUAUAACCAGUACACGUACAAUGCAUGCGUUGUCAAGCUCUAGCUAGGGAUUAAAUUGAAGUUCUCGACUUGCAAGUGAAUUACUAAUUAUCAGUGUUUCUUAGCGUAAUUUGACAAAAUUGAACCUUUUUGGUUGCAAAAAGCGAAUUGUUAUUUCACUAUUUCACUUUUAUUAUUGAUUGAACAGAAGAAAAAUCAAACUUUCGAUUUUUUAUAUAUCUUUUAGCUAGUGCUCCUUUAAUGACAUGUCAGGGGACAAAAUCAAAAUUCAUUUUAUAAACUUUGAUUCACAAACUACCAACAAGGUAGAUUACAAACAUUGUCAUAUAAGUGGCUAUAUAAAGAUAUAAAUAAUUCAAUAUAUUACUUGUAUUCUUCUCUUAGUAAAUAUCACGAUAAGUAAGCGUACAUGCCCAUGCAAGCGACAUGUAUCCAUAAUAAUCAUGAUAGGAGAUACAAUAUACCUUUAUAAGAUACGAUUUGAGUCACUGUUAUAAAUAACGCUGUACAUUCGAUGAACAACUGUACUGCAAGUUUAAAAAAAAAAAUAAUUGAACUUUAUCAUUAUCAAGAUCAUAUUAUGAUAGAAAAAAAAGAAAUAUUAUACAAAUGAUUUAGAUUUUUGAAAAACACUACAUGAAGUGAUGGACCUAGAAAAUGAUUGUAUUAGUCUUGAUUAAAUGUGUUUUAUAAUCCACCUGGCUCAAAGUACAACUAUAACCUUAUUUUAUCAACUGUUGUCCAUCGACCGUUAAAAUUGUCAACACGUUCAUUCGAAACUGAAAAUGCUCUGAAUAACUAUCUUUUUAAUCAACACGACCGCUGCGAUUAAACUAAGAAAACUAUAAAGGUUCAAUACAUGUACGUGUAUUAUAUAUAUAUAUAUAUAUUUACUUUAUAUAUAUUUAUUUACUUUAUUUCAUUCUUAUCGAAGAUUUUGCAACAUUGGGAUUGUAUGAUAAAAAUGUCAAAUAUUAAUUAGAGUAAUUGAAUCAGUUGAAUGUCACUUGAUAAUAUUUCUGAAGCAAAGUCAUCUAUUAAAAAUCACGCUGCACAUUCGAUGAAACUGUGGAAUAUAAGUUUUUGAGAAAUAAAUACUGUUAUCAGUAUCCACAGCAUAUUCCGUAUCACAAGACAAGUGUUUGUGUGAAAGUGGUUGGCUGUAGAUCGUCUUGAUAAACACUGAACACAAUCCGAUUUAUAUAAGUAAUAUAUUAAGUCCUACCAAAGCUUCUACUCUUAAGACUGAUAAACGAUCGCACAUACACAUCGGUGUAGUGACUAUAGGUAUUAUACCAGAGCUUAUUCCUUGGAUAUUGGAAGAUGCACCGUUCCUUAGAUAUUUAUUCUGAACUUGUUAUUUUGGCCUAUGUAACCUAGUAGCAAUGUGUGAGACGUGUUAUUGUCUUUGCAAAUUCGUUAGAUGUCCAGCAGCAACGAGUGCAUAUAUGUGCACUACCAAAUCCUGUGGUGUAUUCUACCUAUGUACUGCUUUUCCAGUGCACUAUCUUGCCUGUUCUACCUUUGCACCGUUUAACAAGUGUAUUGUCUGGUUUAUGCUUCACUUGUGCACUAUUAACCAUAACAAUACCGAUAAAUAGAUGGAAGACAAAACACUAAAAAGUAUAUAUAUUUAUAUAUAUAUAAGUCUAUGAAAAGGACCAACCAGCAAAUUUACUACGUACCGGAUCGUCUAGAAUAUAUAUAUAAACGCCCAAAAAAGUGUACACAACAACUCCAAAUACAAAAAAAAACGGUAACUAUAAAUAUAAUUAUUUAUAAAUAUUUCGGAUAACAGAUAUCCUUCAUCGGUAUAUAUGAUUGUGAUGUUGAAUGAAUCAAUUAUCAGUCUACUUAGAUUAAGUUGUUACAAUUUUGAACCGAACAUCAGUUAAGACGCUUGCACCAUUCUAAAAAUUUAUUAAACAUGACAUAGGUUAUAUGGCUUAUUACAACAGAGAGUUCAAAUAUAUGUUUCAAUACAAAUAAUAAUGUAUGAUAUGAACUAGCACAAUUCUAAAACUUUAACGGGAACGACAAUUAUGAUGGUACAAGAAUGAUUACGUCAAUAAAAUUGCCAAAUAGACAGCACUGAACGAUCUAAAUUUAUAAAUAUUUUAAAUUGACAGAUUAAAGUAGCUGCAACAGACUCUGAGUAUUUAAGCAUCGCGAACAAACAACCGUUAAAAUGUAAUCAUUAGUUUUGAAUAGGUAUAACUGGAAGAACGUGGCUUGGUACUUAUACAUCACUCAAAAAAUUAAGCAAUUUAAAUGGGUAUCUUCAACAAGUUUAUUUAAUGGAUGAAAAAGGUUAAGAAAUAGAAACAGAAGCUGUAAUAAUAAGUAAUAUAACCUAAAUGUGAAGCACUACAUCAAGUCGAACUACAUCUUUUCAUUUAUCCCAUUUGGUGCCAAAGUUGUUAAUUUCCUUAUCCAAAACCUUUCCCGAGCGAGUCUUUCCUCCUUAGACCAAGCAGAGUUGUGGUCAAUGAUUUUAAUGGUCAGUCGAUUGAGAUCUGCCUUAGUGUGACCAGGGGACCUCAAAUGUCAAAUCACAACGGUACUGAUAUAAGAUGGUAUAAUACUUAUAUCAGUACCGUUGUACAAAUUUUUAGACUGAUAUUACAAAAGAGUAAAAUCACAAAAAACACUCCGAGGAAAAUUCAAAACGCAAAGUCCCUAAUCAAAUGGCAAAAUCAAAAGAUAAAACACAUCAAACAAAUGACAACAAUUGUCAUAUUCAUGACUUGGUACCGAAGCUGUCUUAUGUAGAAAAUGGUGGACUGACCCUUGUUUUAUAGCGCCAAACCUCUCACUUGUAUUAGAGUCGCAUCAAAUUCCAUGAUAUUGACAACAAUGCUUGAACAAAACAGCCUCAGUUUUAUUGUUUAUAUUCACCCCACAUAUAUCAAGUUUUAGAUUAUUUUAUUUACACACAAGACAUUUCUUGGUAUUUUUAAACGGAAGAUUAAAUAGACAGAAGAAGAAGUAUACUUAACAACAAAAUUGUUUUAUUAACCUGUGUAUUAUAUGACGUAUUUUUUUUUCAAAUUUGAUGUUUUUAUAAAAUUGUUACUCUUCACAGCAGUUUUAUACUUUUACUUUAAUAAUCCAUCCCUUAUUUUUAUUAACUCUGUACUAACAUUGCAUCACAGAUCAAAUGUAAUUGUUCAUUGUGUGUUUAUUUAUGUCACUUCGUUUUUUGAUUGAGUUAAGUCACUCCAAUUGAUAAAGUGUGUCUAUCUAUGUUUUGAUGUUAUACUACUGUUUGAAAAAAAGGGAGGUUUGGUACCAUUAAAACGUUUAAUCCCGCUGCAGUUGUUUGCACCUGGUCUAAGUCAGGAAUCUGAUUAUCAGUGGUUGUCGUUUGUUUUUGUGGUUCAUUAGUAUUUCUCGUUUCUCGUUUUUCAUAUAGAUUAGACCGUUGAUUUCUCGCUUGAAUGGUACUACACUAGUAAUUUGUGGGGCCCUUUAAAGCUUGCUGUUCGGUGUGAGCCUUGGCUCCGUGUUGAAGACCGUACCUUGACCUAUAAUGGUUUACUUUUAUAAAUUGUGACUGGAAAUAAGAGUUGUCUCAUUGGCACUAAUACCACAUCUUCCUAUAUCUAAUUAAUAUGUAACAUUGUCAAAAUAGGGGUACAGCAUUCAUAGCCAUGUUACAAUCUCAAUCAGAACAAAAACAAACAAAUAUUUAACAAAGAUGCACAAAAAACAUACAUAAAAUUUUACAACCAGGUUCAUUGCUUACUUAUUUUUGUAUUUUAUUUGAGUAUAUUAAAAUCAACCCAUAAAGGAUUGAAAUAUUUUAAAUUCUGUUACUGAAUGGCUAGAUAAACAUCAACUCUGGUGUAGAAUCACGCGUUUAACGUCAGAAUGUAAACGUCACACAGGUAGAGAUAUAAACUAAUUCAAAUUAUGCAAAAAUUAUAAUCAAAACAUUAAUAUAAUAACGUCAUAUGUAUCAAAGAAACACAAAAAGUCACACGGACAAAGCACAACACCAAAAAUGAAAGAUAAUACAACCAACACAUUGACGGGAUGCAUAAGUACCGAGCCACGUCAAAUCACCAAAAACAAACCAAACAGUAAAAGUUAAAAUAUUAAUAAAGACAAAAAAAAGAGUUAACGUUAUUAAGAUUAUAUACAACAUAAGUACGCAGAAUCUAUACACAAGAACCAUCAUGUUUCAUUUUUGAAGUUGAUACGGAAUAUUUAUUAACAAGGUCUUGGUACCUUCCAAUAUACAUUUCUUUGAAAACAGACGAGACGUUCUUCGACAUACCCCUGGUUUAUCAACUUUUUUUGUUCUUUUAUACGUCUUGACUUCCUUGAAAUACAGCUUUUUUGACAGCGCAUCAGGUUAAAUACUAGGUAACUGACCAUACCGUUAACUCUGGACGAUACCAAAUAUCGUAUGCCUGUGAGUGUUUGCAGAAUAUCUAAACCCCUUAUUGCUAAACGUUUGAAUGACGGCCCUUAUUUGCACAAUUUAUUCAUUUUUUUCAAUAUUAGCCGUAAUAGCGAAGGUGUUUUGAUGUACCAUAAAAAUUGUGAAAUUGCAAAGAAAUAGUACUAUAGUACCUUUAUGUACAUCUUUAGUCCAUGAUAUCCGCAUUUGAUCAGUAAGAUUGUACGUUAUAUAAUACUGUCCGAUAAGGCAAACGAAUAUCUACUGUCCUUAUGGAUUAAAACGUUAAGAGUUUCUUGGAUGUUUAGAAAAUUGUUGAUAUUUCAAAUGUUAACAAUUAUACGAUCAAAUGCGGAUUUGUGUCUUCCUUGGUAAGACUGAAAUUUACAAAUAAAGGCAACAGUGGUAUACCGCUGUUCGAAAUUCAUAAAUCGAUUGAGAGAAAAAAACAAAUCCGGGAUCCAAACUAAAACUGAGGGAAACGCAUUAAAUAUAGGAGGAGAACUAUGACACAACAGAAACACAUUAAAAUGCAACACACACAGAAAAGAACUAUAAUAUAACAAACAUUUACAUUUGGUUCCAGGUGUAAAGAACGUGUGCAUAUAAAAAUCCUGCAUUAAUAAACGAUAACUGUCAACUUCGUUUAUCAUAAUCAAACGUGUAUCUCGGAUCAUUAAUUUUACAAUUGAAACCUUCAAAAAGGACAACAGUUUCCAUGGUUAAAUAAAUGUAAUACUUGUAGACAUCUCUAUCAGAGUUUAUCAGAGUUUCAACUUCUUUCGAGAAUAGCUCAUAACUGUGGUUUGUUUUUGGUAAGUGAACACAUAUCAGAUAAAUGUUUGAUGUGUCUGGUAUAUUUAAUUCAAUUCCCAUUAUUCUACUGAUCGGAAUAUCCAGUAUUUCAACAAGAGACCAGUUUUGCCCGAUACCAGAAAGGUGACGACGCCUCUUUAUAUUAAACUUGAAUAAUUGAUGACAAUUGUCAUAAACGCCUUUCCCGUCACCAAUAUAAUUCGUCGUAUGUAAACGCAUCAACUUACAAGACCGAAACCAGAGGUCUGCAAUGAUAACAAUUAUGUCAAUUCUAUUUAUAUUAAGGAAAUCAAUAAGAUAUGGAACACUAUAAUCAUGACUCCACGAGAGAGUUCAAACAUGCAAAGUAAAGUUCCAUGAUUAAGCACAUACGAUACAGUUUUGAUCCCAUAAUGAUUUGAAAAUUUGAAUCUCGGCUAUUUUUGUACCUGAUUAAAUCAAAUAUGUAAUAAAAAAUAUAUCAUCAUGUGCUUUUUUUUGAGUAAAUCGAGGUUGAAAUGUCAAAUAGUUCCUCAAAAUUCGGAUUUGUGGACGCAUUUUUUUCCUUUCGACAGAAAUGUAUAACUUUUUUGUUUAAAGAAAUAAACAUAUUAAAGCUGUUUUUUUUUGUUAAGUAAUUUGUUAUUUCUGUUUUAUAUUAAUGUUCUUCAAAUUUGUACAUUUUAUUUUUACAAAUAAUCAUAAAUAUCAAAUUUUUAUGAAUGUAGAAAAAAACGCCCUUUUUUGCUGUAUAUUUAUCAAAUUAAAAAAAAAUGCACUAUUGACUUUUUCAUGAAAAUUGGUACACAUAAUCUUCAUGCGAAUUCAAACCAGAUGUCAUUUUAUAAAAGAGGGGUGCACGAACUCGUUUUCAAGUUAUAUCAGUUUGAAUGAUAAAAAUCGAUCAUUCAUAGUUUGACAUCGCGAAAAUAACAAUUUACGUUAGCAACUGUAACUUAUCGUAUGCCCUUAACUUAAGUGUCUACUUUGUCGUGAAUAAAUAAAUCACAAGCUAGGUUUCAAAUCUCUAGUAGAUUCCUUUCGGCCAUAAACUAGAGUUGUACACAAUAUGUCAAUCUCGUGCAUAAAGAAUCCGUUUGCUUAUUGUAAUGUGACUAUUUUACAGCUUCAAAAGAUGUAUAUGUAAGGAUGUUGAUAAUGGUGAGAAACUGCGGUUUGUUGUUUUUGCCUGCAUCCUGGAUUAUGAUAAUGUUAUCUUACUGUAAACUGUACAAUGAUUCGACAAUGCACACCCUUCCAUAUUGGUUAAAGAGGUUCGCUAUUGUGAUAUUCAGCAUAUAUGGUAAGUUCUCAAUGUUUCAAUAUAAUAAUACUUAUGAUUUUUGAAAAUUUGAAAAAAAAUUAACGGGGAGGACGCCAAUGACAUUGUUUCGUUUACGAAUCGAUCAAAGAUAAGCCUACGUAAUUUCAAACACGCGCCCACGUUAUCAGCUCGGUAGUUAGUACUUUCAAAUUGGUACUGACACGAUUUAUAACAAAUUAACUAAAAUUGCCCGUUUAUAAAUUGUGGCAUUAUAAAGAAAGUUAGAAACUAAUGUUUCAACUGCCUCGCGCAAAGUUGGCCUUAGAUGGAUUUGGCUAUUUUUAGAUCAUUUUUGGUUUAUUAUUAUCGGUCCUUAUACAUCACUGGCUUUCAAAUAUUCGGGUUUGGGUGUAACUUACCAGGGUAAAUCCAGAAAAGCGCUCCGGACGGAAAUGAAUAUCGUGUAUAUUUUUUUAUAAGCGCCGUUCCAGAUUUGGGCUGAUCUGCAGUUCACUUAAAUAACGACUAUUGUGUCUUUCAUUUGCGCAGAUUAUGAACAGGUAAAUGAAAGAUGAAUUUAUUUUCUAUUCAUCAGUAUAAACCUCUUCUGGUAGCCAGUUGUACAUUAGUCCGAGAUUACUCUGACGUCGAACGGCUAUUUUGUCAGACAAGCUGGGAGUAGGUUUUGCUGACAGUGCAGCCGUUUGACGUCAAAGUAAUCUCUGACUAAUUGUAAAUGUUAUGAAUGGUCAAUUUAAACGUAUAUACCAAACAUUGUCUCCAGCACACCGCGGAUUGGUGAAAUAACGAUAUGAACAGGCCGUAUGUGUCAUUAUAGCUUCAAUUAACGCGAUUUUUACAUAUUUUGAGCACUAUUAAAAACUAUGGUAUCACUAAUUAGCAACAAAAAUCGACAAGAAACUAUUUAGCGACAAGAAAAAUUUUUUUUAAUUAAAAUUACUUAUUUCAAAUAAAUAUUAAAAGAAUAUGCAAAAGAAAACAAUUUUAGCGACAAAAAAGUUAAUAUUGAUAGAAAGAAAAAAAUAAAACAUCAAAUUGCUACAUUUAUUUACAUGAUAUUUUAUUAUUUAUUAUGUAUUACAGCAAGUAUUACGUUUACCCUGUCGUAUUAUAUUACUUUAACUUGAGUUUUAGAACAAUAUAUUUAUCUUAUAAUUUGUUUUUUACUCUUUGAACAAUAAUGCUACGGUACCCAAAUUGCGCUGAGUACCCAAAUUGCACCUAUUAAUCAAAAAUAGCAGUAGAAAUCUUACAAGAUUUCAUAUAGACUAAACAAUUUGUAUUUUUAUGAUUUCAUACUAUGCAGGUCUUCCAAAUAGGUUAAAAUAUUUAGAUAUAAACAAAACGUUAACAGUUUUUAUCAACAGAUGAAGUGUUUACUGAAAAAGCAAAAUGUACGGAAAACCUCAUCAUGCGACGUCAUCAAAACGUCAUCUUUGUUAAAAUUAGCAAAUGCAAUAUGUUACAAGUAUCUAUUUCUUAAAAAAUGAAGAGUAAGCAUGGAAUAAUAUCCAAUUUUUCAAAAUACUUGAAGAAAUUAAACAAAAGCUCUAUUACUCGACUUUUGAUGAUGCAAAUUUAAGCAUGGAUGAUCAUGGAUGCAACUUGGGUACUGCUCAUUACUGGUAUAGAAUCAUUGAAGGUUUGGAGGUCAAUUUUAGGCCAUUUUUUAUGAUUCCAUGAUCAAUAUUAAAUUGGUAAAACCAUAUAGUAAAUUAUAAUAAAUUCAAAAUAAACACAUGAUGAAAAAAAAUUUCCGAAGAAUAAAUAAACGUAGGUUAAAAAACUGUCAAAAUAGGUGCAAUUUGGGUACCCUCACGUUAUAUAAUAAACUUGCAAAAUACAUUAUUUGUGCAUCAUUUUCAAGAAAAUACAGACACAAAUUGUGAAAUACAAAGAACUGUGAUCAACCAAGAGGAAAACAAUUAAAAUGUGAAUAUUUUCCAUCAUUUUAUUUUGUGUAUUUCCUCAGUUAACGAUAUUUAUCAUGUUUAUGCAUAUCAGAGACAUAUAAUACAAAUGUAUUAUAUGUCUCUGUGCAUAUUGAUUAAAGUUUAAAGGAAAUUAAUGGCAAUCUUGAGUUUUCAACAGAUGUUCACUAUUUGCAAUGAUUGUAUAUAUUCUGACGCGUGUAAUUGUAUAGACUGACUCGUGUACAAAGUUGAAGGUGUUAAUUGGAUGUUAUUGUAGCAAUAAAACAAGGGACACACGCCUUGAUUAUCUCACUUGACUGAUGUUCCACAUUGUGUGUACUGUUAUUACCUUAGAGUGAAGCCCCAUCUAAUGUUGUACUGUAUUGUUAGAAAGGAAAUAAUAUUUCAUGUUUUUGUUUUAAUAAAUCUUUCUAGGAAAGUUGAAAUAUCUGUGUUUUUAUUUCCAUUUCAUUGCCCGUAAAUUAAACAAAAAUGCAUAUUUCUUUAUAUUUGAUAAAAAAAAAAAUGUUUUCUUGUCGCUAAAUAGUCUUCUUGUCACUAAACUGAUUCUUCUUGUCUCUUUUUGACGCUUCUUGUCGCUAAUUAGUGAGACCCAAUCAAAGAGCAGAUUGCUCUGAGGGAUACGAUUGCAAUUGUUUUCAUUGACACAUGUAUACAUGUAGCUGGAUAAUAUUAUUUUCAAAACUAAUUCAACUGCACAUGUAAAAUGUAUUUUACGUAAUCUGAAUAGUAACAAAAUAGCCAAUCCCGGAUAAAAGUGUAUGAACAAUGUACUUAGGCUUAUUGUGUUUUAUUUUUGUACUAUUUUCUAUCAAUUCCAAGUUUACUUUUCACAGCAGUCACUGAGACUCAGAGUGAGAGAAGUAUUUCAUUUCGUAUAUUAUCACCUAUUUUCCUACGUUAAUUCUAGGAGGAACCCCAUUCCUAACUCUUCAAAUGUUUAAUUUCCUUUGGGUCAGUGAUCAUGACUCCUUCCCGUACACAUUCAUCGGUUUAAAUUGCGAUCGUUUUUAAUAGGCAUUUUUAAUACAAUACGACGUUUAUCGACAGAACGAGUUAAUUUUUCUCAGCGUAAUGUUUUGGUUGAGAAUUCACGGAAGUGUCUUCCGGAAGGGAAACAACUCGAAACGAUAAUAUGGAAGACUCCAUUUCGCCUGAAGGGGUGUUGAAAAAAAAUCUUAACGAUGUUGACUAAUUUAUUUUAAUUUAAAUGAUGCAUAUGAUUUAAAAUUAUGCAACUACAAUAACCUCAAUGGCAGACAUACAUAGAAAGGAUCCUAUGAGUUAUAAAUUAAUCAAUCGAGUGGGGAAUCCAGAGCAACCAUUACUGUUACUGUUAUUGGUAUGUUCCUCCUAUCUAAGGAGCACUCCCGAAGAAUGAGGAUAAGAAUAUGAAUAUUUACAUGUAUAUGAAUAUUUACAGGGACCUGUUAGUAGCACCAUUACCCAUAUAAAAGUCAUCACUCUAUACACAAGUUCUGAUGUCCUGAUUACUAUAUUACGACACUUUCUCGAUAUAUACAAUGUCUUUUGAUACUUGAUACUCUUUCAAAAUAUCCUUCACUUUGAAUUGUCAGUCUGAUAUUAAGUAUACUGCUCUUAUAUAUGUGAUAAAUUUAUCAAGCCUUGGUCUGAUUUAAUAAAAUACGUUUUAUAUGAAGGCGGUAACAUAAUGUUCUUGUAAUAGCUUCAAUAUCUUUACAGUUUGAUUUCUUCAGUUUGAAUAGUUCUUUAAACUUUGUUGCUGAUGGGUUAAGAAUGAAUUGUACAAGCAAUCCUUGUUCCUCUACUCUGUCAAAUGUUCCAACUGGUGUGUUGUUCUUCAAGUAGGAUUUAAGAACUGACAAAUGUCUAUCUCGCUCCGUCUUUCAUGCAGUACACGUUAUUAGAAAGUGAUGUGUAUAUUCACGGCUUAUUUCACAUAGCAGGCACUUGUCACUUUCUCGACCUCUUGUGAAUUUUUCUCUGUCUGAUUGUAAUGUGUAAGUUCUUGUGAUUAACCUUGCUUUAAUUUCGGCCUUUUUCACUUCGAUAGUUGUAUUUGGUACUAGCUGCCAGAUUUGAGGAGGCUUUUCAAUAGUCUGUUGAUUUAUAUCAAUAUAUUGCAUAGUGGUUUUAUUUUCUUUCUCUGAUAACCACUGUUUUUCCCAAUGCAUGUUUAAUGCCUAAUUUACAGUCCUUUUCCAGAUCUCUUUUGUUGGUUUACUGUUCAUUAUUUCUUGUGCCUUUGGUAGACAAUAUUUAUUCAAAAUUUCUUUUAAUCUAUUGAUAAAGUUGUUACUAUUUGGUGGUGACAUGCAUAAUUGCCUUUCUAUGAUCAUAAAUUCGAUGCUAGCACGAUCCUGAAUAAUGCCUCCGAAAAAAGUAAGGACAAGACGAUCGACAGUUGCCUGUACUGGCUCCACACCAAGCAUAACAUAUAUGGCGGCGUUUGCUGUUCUGUUUGGCAAUCCCUGAAUUUGUCUACAGACCUGUUGUUGAAGUCUUUCAAGCUUUAGAAUGUCAGUUUUUGUAUAAUUCAUGAUCUCUAUACCAUACAAGCAUCUUGGAAUUGCAUAUGUUUGCCAUACUUUAAGUGCUACUAUAGGUGACAUUUCUUUUCGUGCGUGAAGGCCUGGACCUAACAUUGCGUAUACAGCUUUCCUAGCGACUUUCAAUCUAUCCUCGAUAUUCAGCUUAUUUUUAGAGUCUCUGACUAGUCCUAGAUGUUUUGUUUGUGACUUUUGAUCUAGAAUAUCAUUACCAAGUUGAACAGAGAAUUUUUCACGAGUAUCGUGGAAAAUUUUGCUUCUUGUCUUACCCCUUGUCUCUGAAUAAAUUGAUCUGACAGAGUAUUAUCCCAUUUCACUUUAACUGCAACAUUUUUGUACAUAUUUCUAAGCAAAAUCCAAAUGUUGCCAGUUAUGCCGUCAUGGUACAGUUUAUUGAAGAGUAUCUCAUGGUCUAAUUUGUCAAAUGCUUUUUGAGCAUCUAAUGUCAGGAGAACAAGCUGUGCAAGUACUUCUUUGUAGAAAUCUGCCCCCCUGGGUUACAAUGAAGGCUGCAUUGAGCGAGGAUGAUUUUUCAGUAAAUCCACGCUGAAGUUUACUUUGUUGUGGUAGAAGCUUGGGUUCUUUUCUGUCCUUAAGUAUACUUUCGAUCAAUGUGGAGAAGCAGUUAGUCACUGUUAUGCCUCUGUAGUUUUCAGGAUAUAUCUUAUCUUUUCCACUCUUCAGUACAGGCGUAACCACCCCUUCUUUCACUUUUGAAGGUAUAUUCUUUUCUUUGAAUAUAAGGUUAAUAAUGUAAAUGAUAUAUUGUUCAGUUGGCAUAUUCUUAAGGUGUUCAGCUGAGAUUCCAUCUGCACCUGGACUCUUUCCAGUUUUAAGCUUUUGAAUGGAUAAUGUAACUUCCUCUUCGUUUGCUUGUUUUAUCUCUUCGUUCCUAUUGGUUUCUAUUUGUUCAAUUAUCUCAUUUUGCAUAGUGGCGAGAAUAAGCCUCUCGGUGUUAUAUUUUGAUUUUUUUCAGUUUUGUGGCUUCUAUACAGAUCUUCAAAGUAAUUUUUCCAACCUUCAAGUAUAUCUUCAGGUUCUGCCUGUUCUUUUGCAUUAAAAAUCAUAACGUCUGUAUUCACUUUUUUGACACCUCUUUGAUUUUGUAUAAGCUGAUGGAAUAGCUUGUUGUCGUUUUGGGAAGCCAUCAUAAUUGUUACAAAAUGAUAGAAAUAAUUAUAAAUUAAGGAAUGUAUCUCCCUCAUGCAAAGCUCUGAUUCCUUCCUCGGAUUUGGCUAUACUUUUUGGACCUUUUGGAUUAUAGCUCUUCAUCUUUUAUGUAAGCUUUGGAUUUCAAAUAUUUUGGCCACGAGCAUCACUGAAGAGACAUGUAUUGUCGAAAUGCGCAUCUGGUGCAAGAAAAUUGGUACCGUUAAUUUUAUUGCUCUAUGAAGGUGUUUUUUUCUAGAUGCAUUAGCCCUUCGUUGCGCACUUCUUAAUAGUCGUUUGGCUUUUAUCAUUUCCUGCUUUUUCCCAGUGUUUUGUCCAUCCAAUUUCCAUUCAUAAAAUACUAUUUUGGAGUGUUUUGAAGCCUGACUAAUUUCUUCAUUCCAAAUGCCAUUUCCGAUCGCUUUUGAAGUUACUUGUUUCCUGUAAUUUGGUAUGGAAUCUUUUCCUGCCAUAUGCAAUAUGUUUGUUAAUUUUUCUAUUUCUUCAGCUGAUGAACUAAGAUUGUGAAUGUUAAUUUCAUCGAGGUUUUUUAGAAUAGAGGCCUGAUAACUGUUCUUGUCACACAUUUAACCUAGUAUCCCUUGAAGUCAAGAAAACUAUACGCAUGUGCAUAAUAACCUAAACAAACCCUGUAGUAAGAACGUAUAUUAAACCUAAAUGGUUCUCUAUUUUUUAUCGAUGUACAAUAUCAAAUAUCAGUUUAAUAACGGUGACAUAUAAGUAAAACUCCACUUCAGUUCUUAUAUGACAGAAAUAGAUUCAUCGGAAUUCAGAGAACUCUAGCAUUUUUAUCACAACUGGGGAAUUUCCUCUGACGUGUUUCUGAAUUUACAAAAACACUAAAUACAAAUACUGCUUGAUUCUGAUUUUCCGUGUUGUUAAAAACACGCAUAUAAGUCAAGGGAAAUAUCAAACAUGAAGAUUAUGAAAAGAACAUUAUAGGAAAGUUGUUUAAGUUCAACCCCUUUGUUUGUUUUUACCUUUUAAACCAAGACAAUCAUAAGAAUCUGAGACGGUCAUUAAUGUUUAGAAUAAAACGGUUGACGUGAGGGCACUGUCCUGAGCCACUGGUAUAAGUCUACAGAUUGCUUGAAAGCAAUCGUAUCCCAAAAACUAUAGUCAUUAAUCACCUAGUGCGUUAAAAAUCCAUUCAAGUCCAUUGCUGCUUCUGGAUUGUAAUAACGGUCCUGCAUUCUGUGAUGUUCAACGCAUGCGAGACAACUAUAUCUAGGCUAAUCAACUUACCAGAAAAAGGAGUUGGACUCAAGUAAUUCUGAAGUCACAACUUUAUGUUCCACUAGUGAUGCAAUGUUUAUGUAUCUUUGGGUUUCAUACUUUGUUCAAGCAUACUAUAUAGAAACACGUGUAAACUAAAACAGUAAUUUACACCUUUAAAUGUGAACAGAUAAAUAUGAUAAAUCAUGCAUACUACAGCAAUCUGAUAAUACACUUAACAUAGAACUCUAUACCGGGGAAACAAUUUUAAAAUAUAUUUCUAACCUACCUUUACAUUUCUUUAACCAGUUCAUUGAAUAUUAGAUAAUGGUGAUUUAUUUUUCUUUUCAGCUGUAUUUGGCCUAUUGGAAACGUAUAGGUUUCGUGAAAAUAUUGGGCUAUCUUGGUUGUGUAUUUCUGAUAUGUGCAUGAUGUUUACAAUCUCCAUGCUGUACUGGCAUAUUCAUCAUGAUCAAAUCACAGAUAUGAAGAAAAAUGAAUAAUAGACCAUAUGAAAGAUCAAUCACACAACAUGGCCAUUUUGUGAAAAUGUUAGAAUAGCCUUAAUUUUCUGUAUAUAAUAUUAACAUAAGUAAUGAUUAUGUCUGAACUUCCACUUUGUUAAUAUCUUAGCAAUACAAAAUAUUUUUGUGUAUAAAACAUGUAUUUAUCUUCAUUUUAAGCUGGAUAUUCCUUAUUGUUCUAUAAAGAAAUGACCAGUUGUAUACUGCAUACAAUAUUCUUGCAUUCUAAAGCUACAAUUGUUUGUAAG